GGUUCGGUGAUUAGUUCGUGCAAAAUCGAAGAUCAUCAAGAUGGCGUCAAUGGGAAGGUUAUGCACAAAUGUCUACAAGACAGUGGUCCCCCGCCGGACUUUCACCACCGGUAGAGUCCUCCGGGAUACCCCACCAGGAAUACCAAACGAUUCGAUGCCCUUCAUGGCUGGCAAGGACAAAGCUGUGAAUAAAUUAUCGUUCACUCUCGGCUAUGUGGCGUUCGUCAUGACAGGGAUGAUGUGGCCCAUUAUGGCUAUAAGGGAUCAAUGUAUCAGGAUAGGCUCAUCCAUCGAGGACUAGAGGGGAGGUCUCCUCGAUCAAGACUGACCAUCGUCCACCAUUGAGCCGCCAGUGAGAUAGGAAAUUUUGGCUGGAUCCUUCCUUGUGGGUUUAUUUGUGAACUUUUUGAACUGUGAAUCUAUUGUUCUGCUGGAUUACAGACUCAUGUCCAUCAUAUAUUGGCCAGAGAGAAAUUUUAGUAAUUGGCUGGGUCCAUUUUAGUUUGUAAACUAUUUGAAGAUAUUGGCCUGCAGUAUCAAUGUGUCCCGCUGAGCGGCCAGAGAGACCAGGUUAAUGAUAUUAAUAGGCUGGAUCAUGUUAAUUGUUGAUUUCUUUGUAAGCUACCUGAAUUGUGAAUAAAUUAUUUGAAAUAUGUAAACAAUG